rnacentral:rRNA from 1 species
GUCAAAGCUUAACUGUAUACCUGCUUAAUACCAUAAUUAUCUUUAAAUCCUACCCCAAUACUGAGUGAUUCUAUAAACAAUAGAAAACUUUAUGUUAAAACUAGUAACAAGAAGAAAGUUCUUCUCUUAAAUGUAAACGUAAAUCAUAAAGGAUAAACCACUGAUUCUUAACAUUUUUGAACCAAAAGUAAUAACCAAGCAAGAAAAUCUUACUAUUAGCCAUGUUAACCUUACACAAGAACAUUUUAAGAAAGAUUAAAAGAAAAAGAAGGAACUCGGCAAACAUAAGCCCCGCCUGUUUACCAAAAACAUCGCCUCUUGUACUCACAUGAGAGGUCCUGCCUGCCCAGUGACCCUGUUCAACGGCCGCGGUAUCCUAACCGUGCAA